GUUUGGAUUCCUUUCUAGGGGUCCUCUCAUACUAGACGCAAAUGCCAAUUUUAUGGACGAAUCAUAGUAUAGAGUUGAUCGACUCCCGCGAGUCGACGUACCAUUCGAGCUUCUGCACUAUCAUCUCAGGUUGGUAGAGUAGUGGUCUACCAAGGAGUUUACGGUUAACGGAGGAUUAGGGUUCGACUCCGGAGAAUGAGCCUGAGAGACGACUCAUACAUCCAAGGAUGGCAGCAGGCGCGAAAAUUACCCAAUGUACUAAGUACGAGGUAGUGAC
rnacentral:rRNA from 1 species